UACGGAGUUACAAAGGACGACAUUAGACGAAUCAUCUGGAAAGAUGAAUCAAAGAAGGUAAUAAUCCUGUAGUCGAAAAUGUUGUCUCUCUUGAGUGGAUCCUGAGUACGACGGAGCACGUGAAAUUCCGUCGGAAUCUGGGAGGACCAUCUCCUAAGGCUAAAUACUCUCUAGUGACCGAUAGUGAACCAGUACCGUGAGGGAAAGGUGAAAAGCACCCCGGAAGGGGAGUGAAACAGAACCUGAAACCGUGUGCUUACAAGUAGUCAGAGCCCGUUAAUGGGUGAUGGCGUGCCUUUUGUAGAAUGAACCGGCGAGUUACGAUUUGAUGCAAGGUUAAGCAGUAAAUGUGGAGCCGUAGCGAAAGCGAGUCUGAAUAGGGCGUUUAGUAUUUGGUCGUAGACCCGAAACCAGGUGAUCUACCCUUGGUCAGGUUGAAGUUCAGGUAACACUGAAUGGAGGACCGAACCGACUUACGUUGAAAAGUGAGCGGAUGAACUGAGGGUAGCGGAGAAAUUCCAAUCGAACCUGGAGAUAGCUGGUUCUCUCCGAAAUAGCUUUAGGGCUAGCCUCAAGUGAUGAUUAUUGGAGGUAGAGCACUGUUUGGACGAGGGGCCCCUCUCGGGUUACCGAAUUCAGACAAACUCCGAAUGCCAAUUAAUUUAACUUGGGAGUCAGAACAUGGGUGAUAAGGUCCGUGUUCGAAAGGGAAACAGCCCAGACCACCAGCUAAGGUCCCAAAAUAUAUGUUAAGUGGAAAAGGAUGUGGCGUUGCCCAGACAACUAGGAUGUUGGCUUAGAAGCAGCCAUCAUUUAAAGAGUGCGUAAUAGCUCACUAGUCGAGUGACACUGCGCCGAAAAUGUACCGGGGCUAAACAUAUUACCGAAGCUGUGGAUUGUCCUUUGGACAAUGGUAGGAGAGCGUUCUAAGGGCGUUGAAGCAUGAUCGUAAGGACAUGUGGAGCGCUUAGAAGUGAGAAUGCCGGUGUGAGUAGCGAAAGACGGGUGAGAAUCCCGUCCACCGAUUGACUAAGGUUUCCAGAGGAAGGCUCGUCCGCUCUGGGUUAGUCGGGUCCUAAGCUGAGGCCGACAGGCGUAGGCGAUGGAUAACAGGUUGAUAUUCCUGUACCACCUAUAAUCGUUUUAAUCGAUGGGGGGACGCAGUAGGAUAGGCGAAGCGUGCGAUUGGAUUGCACGUCUAAGCAGUAAGGCUGAGUAUUAGGCAAAUCCGGUACUCGUUAAGGCUGAGCUGUGAUGGGGAGAAGACAUUGUGUCUUCGAGUCGUUGAUUUCACACUGCCGAGAAAAGCCUCUAGAUAGAAAAUAGGUGCCCGUACCGCAAACCGACACAGGUAGUCAAGAUGAGAAUUCUAAGGUGAGCGAGCGAACUCUCGUUAAGGAACUCGGCAAAAUGACCCCGUAACUUCGGGAGAAGGGGUGCUCUUUAGGGUUAACGCCCAGAAGAGCCGCAGUGAAUAGGCCCAAGCGACUGUUUAUCAAAAACACAGGUCUCUGCUAAACCGUAAGGUGAUGUAUAGGGGCUGACGCCUGCCCGGUGCUGGAAGGUUAAGAGGAGUGGUUAGCUUCUGCGAAGCUACGAAUCGAAGCCCCAGUAAACGGCGGCCGUAACUAUAACGGUCCUAAGGUAGCGAAAUUCCUUGUCGGGUAAGUUCCGACCCGCACGAAAGGCGUAACGAUUUGGGCACUGUCUCAACGAGAGACUCGGUGAAAUCAUAGUACCUGUGAAGAUGCAGGUUACCCGCGACAGGACGGAAAGACCCCGUGGAGCUUUACUGUAGCCUGAUAUUGAAAUUCGGCACAGCUUGUACAGGAUAGGUAGGAGCCUUUGAAACGUGAGCGCUAGCUUACGUGGAGGCGCUGGUGGGAUACUACCCUAGCUGUGUUGGCUUUCUAACCCGCACCACUUAUCGUGGUGGGAGACAGUGUCAGGCGGGCAGUUUGACUGGGGCGGUCGCCUCCUAAAAGGUAACGGAGGCGCUCAAAGGUUCCCUCAGAAUGGUUGGAAAUCAUUCAUAGAGUGUAAAGGCAUAAGGGAGCUUGACUGCGAGACCUACAAGUCGAGCAGGGUCGAAAGACGGACUUAGUGAUCCGGUGGUUCCGCAUGGAAGGGCCAUCGCUCAACGGAUAAAAGCUACCCCGGGGAUAACAGGCUUAUCUCCCCCAAGAGUUCACAUCGACGGGGAGGUUUGGCACCUCGAUGUCGGCUCAUCGCAUCCUGGGGCUGUAGUCGGUCCCAAGGGUUGGGCUGUUCGCCCAUUAAAGCGGUACGCGAGCUGGGUUCAGAACGUCGUGAGACAGUUCGGUCCCUAUCCGUCGUGGGCGUAGGAAAUUUGAGAGGAGCUGUCCUUAGUACGAGAGGACCGGGAUGGACAUACCUCUGGUGUACCAGUUGUCGUGCCAACGGCAUAGCUGGGUAGCUAUGUGUGGACGGGAUAAGUGCUGAAAGCAUCUAAGCAUGAAGCCCCCCUCAAGAUGAGAUUUCCCAACUUCGGUUAUAAGAUCCCUCAAAGAUGAUGAGGUUAAUAGGUUCGAGGUGGAAGCAUGGUGACAUGUGGAGCUGACGAAUACUAAUCGAUCGAAGACUUAAUCAA
rnacentral:rRNA from 1 species